rnacentral:rRNA from 1 species
AAAUUGAAGAGUUUGAUCAUGGCUCAGAUUGAACGCUGGCGGCAGGCCUAACACAUGCAAGUCGAACGGUAACAGGAAGCAGCUUGCUGCUUCGCUGACGAGUGGCGGACGGGUGAGUAAUGUCUGGGAAACUGCCUGAUGGAGGGGGGUAACUACUGGAAACGGUAGCUAAUACCGCAUAACGUCGCAAGACCAAAGAGGGGGACCUUCGGGCCUCUUGCCAUCGGAUGUGCCCAGAUGGGAUUAGCUAGUAGGUGGGGUAACGGCUCACC